GGGAAUAGCAUACUCUCAGAUCAAGAAGCGCAUGUGUGUGGAAUUUAUAGUGGAUAAUCCUAAUCAUAUUUUGCUCUUUGAUGAAUGUCUUUCUUCCUCUAGAACAUUGAUGGUGUGCAAAAGAUGGUAUGGGCUAUCUUUUCUUUUAUUAUUCUUUUUCUUUCUUCUCUUGGACACUUGUCCAUUUUUUCAAUACUUUAUUUUGCAUAGCCACAUAUCUCCAUUCUAUAACUAGGAAAUAUUGAGAAAGACUUUUUAAAGUACUUAGAGCAAUUAUUCCUACCAAGAUUUUUUUUGUUUUCUCUCAAUAUAGGAGUAAAACAUUUUGUGGAUGAAAAUACGUGUUUGUGCAUGUUCCUAGUGUGGG
rnacentral:lncRNA from 1 species